rnacentral:misc_RNA from 1 species
UCCGAGUUGUCCCCGGCAGUCCCCUUAGAGUCCCCGGCAUUACCCGCUGGCAACUAAGGGCAGGGGUUGCGCUCGUUGCGGCACUUAAGCCAACACCUCACGGCACGAGCUGACGACAGCCAUGCAGCACCUGUGCUAGCCCCUUACGGACACCGGCUUUCACCGGCUUUAACUAGCAUGUCAAGCCUAGGUAAGGUUCUUCGCGUUGCAUCGAAUUAAGCCACAUGCUCCGCCGCUUGUGCGGGUCCCCGUCAAUUCAUUUGAGUUUUAACCUUGCGGCCGUACUCCCCAGGCGGUCGACUUAUCGCGUUAACUGCGCCACAAAGGUCUCGAGGACCCCAACGGCUAGUCGACAUCGUUUACGGCGUGGACUAC